AUCAAACUUUAUCAACAACUGUUUCUCACUAGAACUGAACCUGUAACCAACAAAAAUGCCUUUCAUCACCAUAUUGAUCUGGACGCUGGCUGUAGUGUGUCGAGAAUCUUUUGGGCAGGUGACAGUGACUCAAACUCCCUCAGUGCUGCUCGCUCAGACUGGACAAUCAGUCACUGUAACCUGUACAUUUAACAGAGAUCCAGACUGCUGUUAUUACGGAAAACCUGCUCUCAGCUGGUACUUACAGAAACCUGGAGAAGCUCCUAAACUCCUGAUUUAUUAUACAACCCGUCUCCAGUCAGGAACUCCAUCUAGAUUCAGUGGCAGUGGAUCUAACAGUGAUUUCACUCUGACCAUCAGUGGAGUCCAGACUGAAGAUGCUGCACAUUAUUACUGUCAGAGUUACCACAGUGGUGGUGUGUUCACACAGUGAUAAAGCGUGGUACAAAAACCUGUGUCAGUCAGAGUCACAGUGACUGAACUGAUGCUGCAGCUGCUCAAACACUAUCACUCACUCAACAGAGCAUAUGUUUAUAAAUACUGAAUGAAAUAUAAAGCACUAAAUUUAGUUUUUAACACAAUAAAUACUUAAAUCUACUUUAUCUUUAUUAAAGUUAUCUACGAUUUUAUCUGUGAGGUUGGUAAUGUUCAUGUUCUUGUUUCAUCAUGAAUCUGCAGGUGUUUUCAUGGUUCACUGAGUGAAGUU